AGUGAACGCUGGCGGUAGGCCUAACACAUGCAAGUCGAACGGCAGCACAGUAAGAGCUUGCUCUUACGGGUGGCGAGUGGCGGACGGGCGAGGAAUACAUCGGAAUCUACUUUUUCGUGGGGGAUAACGUAGGGAAACUUACGCUAAUACCGCAUACGACCUACGGGUGAAAGCAGGGGAUCUUCGGACCUUGCGCGAUUGAUUGAGCCGAUGUCGGAUUAGCUAGUUGGCGGGGUAAAGGCCCACCAAGGCGACGAUCCGUAGCUGGUCUGAGAGGAUGAUCAGCCACACUGGAACUGAGACACGGUCCAGACUCCUACGGGAAGCAGCAGUGGGGAAUAUUGGACAAUGGGCGCAAGCCUGAUCCAGCCAUACCGCGUGGGUGAAGAAGGCCUUCGGGUUGUAAAGCCCUUUUGUUGGGAAAGAAAAGCAGCAGGUUAAUACCCCGCUGUUCUGACGGUACCCAAAGAAUAAGCACCGGCUAACUUCGUG
rnacentral:rRNA from 1 species